rnacentral:rRNA from 1 species
GACGAACGCUGGCGGCGUACCUAAUACAUGCAAGUAGAACGCUGAAGCGAGGAGCUUGCUCUUCUUGGAUGAGUUGCGAACGGGUGAGUAACGCGUAGGUAACCUGCCUUGUAGCGGGGGAUACUAUUGGAAACGAUAGCUAAUACCGCAUAACAAUAGGUGACACAUGUCAUUUAUUUGAAAGGGGCAAUUGCUCCACUACAAGAUGGACCUGCGUUGUAUUAGCUAGUAGGUGAGGUAACGGCUCACCUAGGCGACGAUACAUAGCCGACCUGAGAGGGUGAUCGGCCACACUGGGACUGAGACACGGCCCAGACUCCUACGGGAGGCAGCAGGAGGGAAUCUUCGGCAAUGGGGGCAACCCUGACCGAGCAACGCCGCGUGAGGGAAGAAGGUUUUCGGAUCGUAAAGCUCUGUUGUAAGUCAAGAACGAGUGUGAGAGUGGAAAGUUCACACUGUGACGGUAGCUUACCAGAAAGGGACGGCUAACUACGUG